rnacentral:siRNA from 1 species
UCAAAUCUCGACUCGGUUAUCUGC